AGCACAACUACUGGAGACAACAUAACCAUUAACCAUAACCUUACAACCUACAAUAUAACCCAAAAUAAUAACAAGGUAAUUGUGGACCAUCAGAAAAAAGAGGAAGCAGCCCCGAUUCCACAGCAAAGCACCUCUCCACCAACACACCUCAAUGAAGACAGAGGGAGAGAGACAAACAGGAGUGGUGAAGACAAGGAGGGCACAUCCCAGGACCCACUAGGCAGUGCAACACCACCAGG